rnacentral:rRNA from 1 species
ACAUGCCUACAACAUAGUGUUAAUGUAUUGGAUCCCAUUGGAACUCCAUAGUUAAGCAUUCUUGUGAUAGAGUAGUAAUGAGAUCGAUGAUUUCCCAAUAAGUCCUAGUAUUUU